AAGUUCUGGAGACUUAUAAUAAAACUGUACUGCCUCCCUCUACUGGACGCAUCAAGAACAACAGGGGUGUAAAACUGCCCAGGCCAUAAAACUGCUUGGGCCGUAGAUCUGUCUGGAUCCAAGUCUGCAGUCUUCCCCACCUCGAAUAUUUCGUGCAACAGCGCCCCCUGGUCAGUGAUCACAAUUUUCGGCACAACACCGCCCUUCAGAAACGAAAGUGAAAGUGUUUAGUUGUUGUGUUGCAGUUUUAAACAACCAAAAUUCAUCAUUUACCAACGCGGAACAGCUUUAAAUCUUUAAUGUCUGGACAAAACCUGUAAGCUUUAUGUGAAUGUGUGUAUGAUGUUAUUAUAAUCAAACGGAUGACGCUGUGAUUCUUCAUUAGUUUACUCGUGAUGAGCUUCUGGAUUUGAGUGUCUCAGCUGCUGAUCUAUUCCUGCAUUCAGCUGAAUUAUGAAGGCUGAUCAAUGACUGGAGAUCUGUGAUUGUUUAUCAGUUUCUUGUUUCUUCUAGAGUUUCUGCUGGAGAUCAAACUCUUCAGAUCCAUCAUGGAGGACACAAACACACCUGGAGUUCUGGAUUUGUCUACAGGAUGCAGUUCAGUUCAUCAGAAGAGAGCAGAAGCAGAGCCCAGCUGUGUGUCUAUGAAGAGUGACGCGUCUAUGGAUGAACCAAUAAAUCUUAAGAGUAAAAACACAGGACCUGCUGUCAGUGAUGAAUAUGAGUCAGCAGCUUCAGGAGACGAGACUCACAGGAGACACAAGAGCUUCACAGACAAUCUCCAGUUGAUCUUCCAG